CUGUACUCUUAUUUUGCAAAAAGUGCAUGAAAUAUAGAUACUGGGCUAUCCCCUUUGCUAAGGUCUGAAUGUUUCUGUCUCCCAAAAUGUGUACAUUACAACCUAAGCACUAGGGUGAUGGCAUUAGGAGAUGGGGCCUUUGAGAGGUAAUUAGGUCAUGAGGGUGGAGCCCUUAUGAAUGGAUUAGUGCCCUUAUAGAAGAGGUCCAGAGAGCUGCCUUGCCCUAUCUACCAUGUGAGGACACAGCAAGAAGACAUCAUCUAUGAUCCAGAAAGCAGGCCUUCACCAGAGACUAAAUCUGCCUUGACCCUGGACUUCCCAGCUUCCACAACUAUGAGAAAGAAAUCUCUGUGCUGGACACGGUGGCUCAUGCCUGUAAUCACAACACUUCAGAAGACCGAGGUGGAAGGAUCACUUGAGCCUAAGAAGUUAAAGGCUCAAGGUCUUUUGAAAUCUUUGAUCAGUAUGAUUUUACUUGCAUCUAAGUCACUGAAGCAUCCAAGGCUAAGAAGGAAGGCUUGAACAUGACGAAACAGCUAUAACCUUGCUUUAAAUACAUGGAUCGACUUCCCUCCCACUGAUCUUUGCAGGAGUCUUGCUCUAGAACUAUUGGAUCCCAUCUCUCUGAUUUUCCUUCUCUCCCAUUUUAGGUCUCUCUGAUGAGAUGUAAGAUAAUGAUAGUCAAGUGUGGUGAAGGAGGGAAUGUAUAGUCUACUUUCCUGCUCCCUAACAGCUUUGGUGACAAAAUCAAAACUCAACAUAAGAGGAGUUUGAAACAAUAGAGAUAAAAUAAGAUUUGGAGUUCUACUAGGAGUCCAGUUGGAAGUUAAAUAAGAUCAGAAACUCAUUUGAGGAAUCCAUUACUCAUGAGUGUAUCCCCAGUCAGGAGGAAAUGAAAGACAACCAGUCUGUUGUAAAGACUUAGCAAGCAAGAGGGAGAAACAGGAGUACCUCUUGUACGUGUCACCUUUCCUUUAGUUUGGAGUGUGUGGCGUCGUACCAGUGGAUUCACAAAUGCCAGCUCUGUCUCCUUCCAGGCACAUAGUGGAAUUGCAAUUCCCCACUUUUCAGUGCCUUCCCCAGAGACAGCUACUGUUAGCUGUUUAACAUAUAUCUUUCAAGGCCUUUCUUCUAUAGUUCCACACAUAACAAAUAUAUGUCAAAGAUACAGCGGGAACAUAUUUAGAAAUAUUACUCAAAUUCCUCCCUUGCUGCAACUCCCCAA
rnacentral:lncRNA from 13 species